GCAUUGUGCUUCACAAAGUACUCACUGGUAGCAGAUUGCCUACGCUCCUGCAGUUAGUGAUUGGUGGACUGUGUUUGGGAACGUAAAUAAACAGGUUAAAUGGACUUGCCAAAUUGGGAGAUUAUUCCCUGCCUUUCAGCCGUUUUUCCCAGAGUGGGAUCCAGACACUCGCAACGCUGGGUAGAACAAAGUGGUAUAGAAACAGAAUGAAAGAAAGGAGUUUAAAACAGACUUCCCCUGGUCCUUUUGCUGAGUAAGCGGCAGGUCGUUUGAUGAACAGACGGAAAGAUCUACUUGACUAUCCACAAUACAAUAUGCCAUUGUAACACAGUUAUUUACUCGUUAAUAUUGUCUAAAGCAAACCUGAGCAAUUUGUUUUGUC